rnacentral:rRNA from 1 species
UACGAGGGGCGCAAACGUUAUUCGGAAUUACUGGGCUUAAAGAGUUCGUAGGCGGCGCAGAAAGUAGGGUGUGAAAGCCCUCGGCUCAACCGAGGAAUUGCGCUCUAAACUACUGUGCUUGAGGAAGCUAGAGGUGAGCGGAACUGAUGGUGGAGCGGUGAAAUGCGUUGAUAUCAUCAGGAACACCGGAGGCGAAGGCGGCUCACUGGGGCUUAUCUGACGCUGAGGAACGAAAGCCAGGGGAGCGAACGGG